rnacentral:rRNA from 1 species
GUACGUAGGGCGCGAGCGUUUGUCCGGAAUUAUUGGGCGUAAAGAGCUCGUAGGCGGCCUGUUGCGUCCGGCUGUGAAAUCCCAGGGCUCAACCCUGGGCGUGCAGUGGAGUACGGGCAGGCUGGAGGCAGGCAGGGGAGAACGGAAUUCCGGUGUAGCGGUGAAAUGCGGUAGAUAUCAAGAGGAACACCUGGAGGUGAAGACGGGUUGCGUGGGCU